ensembl:lncRNA
AUUAGCACGUCUUUAGCACAACAGAAGGUUCGGUUGGCAGGAGUCUGAAGACUGGACGAGAUGGUGUCGCUUGAGCUCUAUGGAGAUUUAAUAAGAGACAUUACUGCUCAGAACCUCUCGCACGCGGACAUUUCCACGAAGUUAUCACAAUUAGGUGUGCAGCGAUGUUCUGAAAUGAGUGUCAGGAGAUUUUGUGCACAUCACAACAUUUCCAGGAGGGGACAUGUAUCCGACACACAAUUAGAAGUUGCUAUCAGCAGGGCAAUAAAUCAGACAGGGUCAACAUAUGAUGACCAGGUAUCUGUCUGCGAUGGGAGUGGUUGCUGGUGAACGCCGGAUAGGGAGGAUUUUGAGAACAACGCAUUGUCCUUAUCACGAAAUGCGCAAUCGUGACAAACAACCCCCUAGUCUCCAUGGCAACAGCAGUCCUUGAUGCCAGCUGCCUCCCUCAGCCAGACAAACUCAAACUGCUCAGGAGUGGUCCGA